AUGGAGGCGCCGGUGCGGGGGGUCCGGCUUCGGGGGCAGGG
rnacentral:antisense_RNA from 1 species